AGCGCUGACGGCUAACAGAGUAAAGGGCGUUGUCCUGUGAGGUUCAGCAGUUAUGAAAGAACCUGCUGUUGCUACUGCUAAAAUUGUUAGUGAUUUUAGUGUAAUGAAAUUGUUAAUUCAUAGUGUUAGCGCAAUCUGCUGGUUCUAGAAAUCAGGGAACAUUUCUCAUGUCAUUUUCCAUGCCAUUAAAUGAUGUAGAGCUAGAUAUUCUGAGACAAUUGGCAAUUGGUUUUCGUUUUUUAUUUGUGGUUUUUGAAUUAUUUAGAUCUUGUUUACAUCUUUCUGCAAUCUGGUUGCUAGGGUCCAAAUUACGCUAGCAACCAAAGCUCAAAUCUUUUCCUGUCCCACUUUCCAGCGGAGUGCUGAUGUCAUGGGGGUGGUGUCACCGUGGGGUGUGGUGAUAAUUCGCCGAUUGCCCAAUCGUCGCGUCAGUAUAGGAGAAUCCUGCCCAGUUUUCCUAAUUUGGAAAAACCUUUUUUCUGUUUAAGUAAUGGCCCUUAACUCCUCUGGGAAAUUGUCUUUUUACUCUUUGAUAAAUACAGAUUUCUCUCAGUCAGCUGGUUCAUUAGUUGUAGAGGCAGGCUUGGGUCUGCAGCAGACGUCUGUAAUGUUAAUGAAUUUAGAGUAGAAGUGCUACUGAUCUGGUAAACCCAGAAUCAUGGGAAACUAUCAGUCCUAACUACCUCUAGUCAUAUUUUAAACUCACAGCCUGGCUGCAUUUCCUUGGAAAAAGUGUCCUGGCCAAUCUGGUGACCUAGCAAGCUGAAUCUCCAUACUUUGGUGUUUUAUGCGGAAGAAAUAAAAAAAAAGACCAUUUGUAAAGGAACAAGGGCAUCAGGUAGUGCCAGAAGUACCAACAAACAGUGUAAAGGAUAUUUCAAGAGGGGACAGAAUUCUGGGGUAAGAAUGCGGGCCAACGGAGGGGGACCAGUUGGACUUAACAUUGCAGAGGGGUUAGUUCUCCUUUAAGUCAGACUUGAACUUUUAGUGAAUCAAUAGUUAAUUCUAAAAAUAUAAGUGAUGCCAUUUUUAAGGCAUACUAUAAAUAACACUCACUUUUUCGGCCUUUUGUGAAUUAGCCCCUAAUGUAUAAAUAUUUUUCUGUCAAAAAUCUAGACUCCCAGAAGAUAGUUGAUGAGAAUUGGGCACAAAAAUAUCAUAAUUUAAUAUAGCUUUACACCACAUGAUAUUUGUUAUUAAAACUAUCUGUAUAAGUUAUGAAUACUUCAAAGCUUCAUUAAAUAAAAUGGAGGGAUGGACAACAGCAAAAAAAAAAAAAAAGAAGAAGGUGAGAACAGCCCAGCUGAGAGCAAACAUAAUGCAAUAACUAUUCUUUUGCAGACAUAAAAUAGAAGCUACUGAUUCAUUUAUAUGAAUAAUUGACAUUUUUAAAUGCUUCUGUAAUUUCUGAAAGAGAAGACAAUUGGCAUUACUUAGCAGAGUGGAAAAAAAAGUAACAAAAAUUAACCUCAAGAAAACAAAUGAAAAAAUAUCUUUUAUUAAAGCCAGAAUAAAAAAUAAAGAAUAAAGUUCACAAUUCAAGAACAUAUGUAAAUCAAACAAUUGUGUAGAAAAUACAUAGGAAGUUAUUUAGUAAAGGCCGUGUUGGGAAAUCUAAAAAAAAUUCUAUUUUUUUUCACUAGAAAACAUUUUAAAGGGUAAAAAAACUUUAUUUUGGAGAUUUAUUAUACCCCAAUGCUGCAAAAAGCCAGAAUCUGAAAAUCCGCCAUCUCAGAACUUGCGAGGUCAUGUACAAGUCAAUGGGAGAAGCACCUAUUCCAAUUUGACGUUUUCAUGGUCUGCACUGGAUUUAGCCCAAAAAUCCGACUUCUUUGGGGUUUUCGGGAUUAAAACUCCAAAAAAAUCAAGUGAUUAGGGAAAAAGCCCCAAAAAAUACAUACGAUACAAGUUUUCGUUCAAUUUUAUCGAAUUUUUCACGAUCUGAUUAAAUCGAGUUUUUUAAAAUAAAUAUGCUAAAAUCGGGCAUGGGAGUUUGGACUAACUUUUUUUAUUAUUAUAAGAUAAAUUCUAAUUUAAUUAAAUAACCCCCAUAAUGAUAGGCCUCUUGUAAAUGAAAGGGGCAAACACAAAAAAGGGGAGAUUUUCAGGCUUAAUGCAUCUUUCCUAGAGCCCUGAAUUUCUCAGAAAAGUGGCUCCCAGGCUGAUCAUCUCCUCUAUAGCUUUUAUAAGAAAAAUAUCUCCAAGACCAACACAUUUCUUAAUUAAAGGUCUACGACAACCAUUAAAAAGAUAGAUUUGGGGGUGCUACAAGAACGAUGAAUCGAGGGAGCACUCCAAGUCUAGCUAAGUAUUCGUAUAAUGAUCAAUUCACCCUUUUUUUGUUUGAAAAUGUUGUGACUUGAUCUGACAUUAUAGUUUACUUAUACUUAACUAAGCUCAAAGUGUCUCUCACUUAAUUUUGUGUAUUUGUAGAGUUAUUCAGCAGGACGGUAAGACAGGCUUGAAUUUGAUAGUCUUUUGCCUUAAAAAUAAGUGUUGGUCUUGGAUAUCUUCCGCCUAUUAAAGCUACAGCAUGGGAGGAUCAGCCAGUGAUACCAGUGCUUUGGUCAGGAAACACUUUUCCCAAGAAAUGCAACCAUGCACGGAGGUGCCAGCCUAUGUAAAAUAUAAGCAGAGGUAAAUAGUUAGGAUCGCCAUAUAGGGUUUAACUUGAUGUAGUCUAGUGGCUUAGCAACCUUCUAAUCAUAACUUUGUAACAAAGAAACCAUGUUUUCAAAAAUGGAUGCACUUGCAAAUAAAUUAUUACUGUGCAGUGAUCAAUUCACCUUUUCCCUUUGUGUCUGAAGCAAUUUUGGAUCCAACAUUUCCAUUAUAGCUUACUUGCAAGGCCAAGUAUAAAUAACAAACAUCUAGCUGACUUUCAUUUUAUUUUCAUAUUAUGCCAUUACAAUCUGAAUGGCUGAAAAUGUGCACCAAAGAACCAAACAGCGACAACGAUCAUUUUUUAGUGUCAUUCCCUGUGUGGAAUGCCCUUUUUAU